UAGCGAAGGUCCCCUGGGAAACCAAAACCUUGGGAAUGGAAAAAUCUUGGUUUCCCAGGGAAGCAGACUGGGCUUCUACUAUAGCAGCCAAAUAGAAACCCAGCCAUGGAACUUCCCCGGCACCCACCAAUGAAGUUUUAGCCUACCUAACCUUUGGUAAAAUUCUCCUAGUUUCCUAUAAAAAGGGCUGUGUGCCUUUGUCUGGGGAUGGAAUUUUGGUGAAGGGUUGACCCCUGCAUGCUGGUAAUUUCUGCAGAAUAAACACUUUUUGCAUUUGCACUCUCUUUGAGUCUGGGGUCCUCCUCCAGCAAUUCUUGAACCCCAACAGUAGUUUGUUGUGGAUUUGGUUUAAUGCUUGCACAAUAAUUCUGAUUGUGAGUUGCUGUCCCAAGCCGGUUCUAACUGGCAAAUAAAGUUGCUGGCAGCCAUUGGCUGGGCAGGGAGACAGAGAUGGGACUUUGGAUUUCUCUGGCAAGGGAACUCAGGGAAGAAGGAAGAUUUAGAACCAUCAUGUCAGGGAAGUAGAAAGAUCAGGCCUGAGAAGUGCAGGACAGAAAGACAGCCAAAAUGCAAGAAUCUGGGAUCAUGGCCCAGGAGGGCUGCAGACCAGGGCAGUCAGGAUGGAAUACAGGUUUUAGUAAGUAAUAAUUCAGGAAUAUCAGAGGGGAGAGUGUGCUAGUCGAAUGGAGGUUUGGGAGUGGCCCCAUCAUUGAGCUGCUUAGGGCAUAUUAAAAGUAAGGCUCCGUGUGUGUGUGUGUGUGUGUGUGUGUGUGUGUGUGUGUGUGUGUCUUUAUUGGAGAAUCCACAGCAUUGGGACAGUAGCAAGGAACUUGUGCUGCCACCACCAGGCAAACAGAGCAGAUUAAUGAACAACAGUAGUUUUGUGGAUGGCCAAGAUGGCCAUGUCUGUAUGGGGAUGACCAUGAUAGAGCUUACAAAAGAUAAUGAAGCCCGUAUUGUUGUUCUGGGUCUACACUGUAUCCAGCUGACAUGUUCACCCUAACACCACAACAACAUUGUACUUUCUGUUUUAAUUAGUGUUUCCAUUGCAACUCUUAUAAGGGAUACCAUUUCACUGGGGCUGACUUACAGGUUCAGAGGUUCAGUUCAAUCAAGGCAGUGUCUAGGAGUCGUGGUGCCAGAGGAGCCAAGAGUUUUACAUCUUUAUUGAAAGGCAGCCAGGAGAAGAGUGGCUCCCACAUGGCUAGGAGGAGGAUCUCUAAGCCCAUCACCACAGUGACGCACUUCCUCCAACAAGGCCACACCUCCUAAUAGUGCCACUCCCUAGGCCAACCACGUACAAACCAUCACAUUCUUUUAUACAGAAAAUAUCUGCUUGCCUGUCACAAGCCUCUCCUUCCUUUGCUUUCUUCUAUUCACCUUCCUAGAGACCUGCAAGGAUCCUAGUCCAGGGCUUAGGUAAAAAGGACAGCAAUGGUAGCUCUCCCAACCCGUGCCAGAAGUAAUUCUUUAGAGCCUCACCCCUGCCUGCCCUGAAGUUCAAGGGGAGAGCUGGGCGGGCGCUGAGGACAGCUCUUCCACCACCUACAUCUUCCCAACACCACUAGUUUCACAUGCCGAUCCUACCAGUUGCUUCCAGGCUCCCAGCUGUCCUACAGGACUAACAACUGUGGACAAAGGUGUUCCUACGUGGGGCCUUGCAUUACCGGGGCGUUCAAAAGUGAAGCCACCGACAGCAAUUCAUCCUGGCAGGUUGGGAAUCCAAAGCCACAAAUAACAUGGUGCACAGCCUAAGUGACAAGCUUCCCACUGGUGUUCCCACUGUAUAGAUCAGACCACGACAAUGGCUUCUCUCCCCCUCAGACCUCUGGUUGUUAACUUCGCUCCAUUGCUAUAUUCUAUUUAUUUAGGCUUCGCCACAUCUUACUUGCUCAUAAAUUCUCCCUAUUUGUUUACUGUAGUUAGUGAUAUUUCUGAGAAUAUGGAUUUAGUUCCCCUGGUAGUAAGACAGUCCCUUGAGUAUGUUUCCAGAAAGCAAGCCAACAAACAGGAGAACCAUUUAUCCUUAUACACUCUUAACUUGAGUGUUGAUCUAAACAAAAGCUAGAAUCAUUUCUAUAAGCAAUCUUAUCUCUGAACUUACCAACCCAAAAUGUUGGACCUAUCUUUUACAGGAAGCCUCAGUCCACAGAUCUUGAAGAAUUUACCUCAGAGAUGCUAACGGGGAGUAUGUGCAUCACAAUAUCAUAGGACUUAGUCCCAGGAGAGUAGCAACUCAAUCUGGAAAUUUCAACUUCAGUUAUCUUGGACUCCUGCUGUGCUGUACCCUCAAGAAUUGGCACAGGCUCCAUCCGGAAAUCGAAAAGAAAGAUGCCAAUGUUUUAUUGUAACACAAUCUGGCUUCAACACAAGCUGGAAGACAAAGAAGUUUGGUCAAAAGCUGGAAGUGUUCUCUAACCAUGUGAGGAAGGAGUGUGAUACCAAUGGCUCUUUAAGGUCAAGCACUUCACAGUUACUCAUCAACAUUUUUAUGGAAGCCAGAUAACUUCCCAGGGGAGAGGACUGUGUUUGUUUUGAAGUUCAUCACCUUUACUCUGAUGGACGUAGAGCUCUCAGCUGCCUCUCCAGCACCAUGUCUACCUAGGUGCUGCCUUGCUUCCCACCAUGAUGAUAAAGGACUCUGAACUGUAAGCCAGCCCCAAUUAAAUGCUGUCCUCUAUAAGAGUUGCCUUGGUCACGGUGUCUCUUUACAGCAGUAGAACACUGACUAAGGCCCGGAUGAAGAGGAAUAGGAGAAUGACAUGCCAAUCCCAACACUAAACCACAGGGUGACUAGAAAACGUUGCAGAGUCCCUGUGGCCUGACACCCUCUGGUCUCACAGCAAUCCUGGAAAGAAGUGUUAGGAAUCCAAGCUUUGAGCGAUGCAUGGUUUGUCCUUUAAAGGGAUGGAGCUAGAAACCAACCUAGAAACCCUUCUGCCCUGCAGAGCGCUGCCCAUCUGCAAUGAGAAAUUAUCUAAGAAAGAACGACACAUGAGCUCUAGGGAGACCCUAACCCAAAGCCCGAGUAUUGCCUGUACACUGUGUCCGGAUCACACCAAGCUCCGGGGAAGUUGCGCCUUCCUUUCAAAGGAUUUUUUUUUUUGUAAUUAUGUUUAUGCUGGGGAGAGGUGGGGUUGUACACACAUGUGCAAGAGGCGUCAGAGACUG